rnacentral:rRNA from 1 species
AUUGAACGCUGGCGGCAGGCCUAACACAUGCAAGUCGAGCGGAAGAAGACUUCGGUCUUCGAGAGCGGCGGACGGGUGAGUAACGCGUGGGAAUCUGGCUCUUAGAGGGGGACAACUUGUGGAAACACAAGCUAAUACCGCAUACGCCCUAAGGGGGAAAGCAGGGGAUCUUCGGACCUUGCGCUAAGAGAUGAGCCCGCGUCGGAUUAGCUAGUUGGUGGGGUAAAGGCCUACCAAGGCGACGAUCCGUAACUGGUCUGAGAGGAUGAUCAGUCACACUGGAACUGAGACACGGUCCAGACUCCUACGGGAGGCAGCAGUGGGGAAUAUUGGACAAUGGGGGCAACCCUGAUCCAGCCAUGCCGCGCGUGUGAAGAAGGCCUUCGGGUUGUAAAGCACUUUAAGUUGGGAGGAAAGGGUUGUGGCUAAUAUCCAUAAUCUAUGACGUUACCAACAGAAUAAGCACCGGCUAACUCCGUGCCAGCAGCCGCCGUAA